rnacentral:lncRNA from 1 species
GGGACGUGAUUUGAAACUAUACAUAUAAAACAAAAACAAAAAAACACAACAAAAACUUUAGCACCCAUCAACCAUCAAUAUCACAAAAACCCAAAAAACUGAGUAAUUUGGAACAACUUUCCCAUCUAAAAAUCACCAUUUAUUAAGAACUUUUUUCGCUCUCAAAAUGAAAACUUCAUCCCGAAAAAAUGUUCCCUUUUGGUCAUCCACUGCAUAGCUCAAUCCAAAAACACAAUCCAAUAAAUGGGUUUCACUAAAAAUGCAUUGUUUCCCAAUACCCAAAAACACCACUGGGAAAAAAAAAUUCCUUUUUUGCUAAUCAAUUCAAAAUAUGUUUUUCUCAGUUCUAAACCAAAACAAAAACAAAUGUCUUUUUCAACGAAACAAUUCCUAACCCAUAUUCUUGCCUUUACUUUAUAUCAAAACAACAAAGUUGGGAUAAUUUGUCAAUCCAAAUAAAACAGUACAAAAUCAGAACAAAAUCAGAUUUGCAAAAAGACGAUGAUGAUUCAUUACCAACAGAUUUAAAAUUUCAGUACCAACUCCUAAAUGCCAACAUUUCAGCCACGCCUGGUUCAGAAAAAACCCACACAAACAGCAGAUUUUCAUGAAUGAGAAUG